rnacentral:rRNA from 1 species
GACGAACGCUGGCGGCGUGCUUAACACAUGCAAGUCGAACGGUAAGGCCCUUCGGGGUACACGAGUGGCGAACGGGUGAGUAACACGUGGGUGAUCUGCCCUGCACUUCGGGAUAAGCCUGGGAAACUGGGUCUAAUACCGGAUAGGACCACUGCCUGCAUGGGUGGCGGUGGAAAGCUUUUGCGGUGUGGGAUGGGCCCGCGGCCUAUCAGCUUGUUGGUGGGGGGAUGGCCUACCAACGCGACGACGGGUAGCCGGCCCGAGAGGGUGGCCGGCGACGCUGGCACUGAGGUACGGCCCAGACUCCGACGGGGUGCAGCGGUGGGGAAUAUUGCACAACGGGCGCAAGCCUGGUGCGGCGACGCCGCGUGAGGGAUGAGGGCCUUCGGGUUGUAAACCUCUUUCAGCACCGAAGAAGCGCAAAUGACGGUAGGUGCAGAAGAAGGACCGGCCAACUACGUGCCAGCCGCCGCGGUAA